rnacentral:lncRNA from 1 species
CUGUAGAACCUUGAGAUUCUCUGUAACUUUAGCCAACUGUUUGAGUACAUCCCCCUGAGAGACCCUGGGCCAGAACCGCCCAGCUAAGAUGCUCCUGGCUUCCUGACCCUCAGAAACUUUAUUAGGAAGUAAUAAAUGUUUGUUGUUAGUCAGCAAUGAACAAUUCUUUCAAUAAUAUACAAGACGUUUUAUAAGAGGUCAAAGGCAUUGAUUAAAAACUGAUUAAUGGGCAGACCCAAACAAUAUGAGCAUGAAACCCAGGAGAAAGGAAUCAGAGUUGGCUGGGAAAAUUAGAUUUAGCUGUAAUGGACAAGUAGAAUGAGGCAUAACUGACUAUAUCUUCUGGAAAAAUAUAGCUACUAACAGAGAGAUAAAGAAACAGUCACUUUCAGAGCACUUUGUAUAUUAUUUAUUCUUUACAAAAAUUCUGUGGUUCUGUGAUAUACAUUGUUAUCUUCAUUUUACAGGGAAUGACACUGAAGGUCAGAAGUCGAGACACCUGCUCAGAAUCACACAGAUGGUAGAUGACAGAGCUCCAAUCAGAAAACUCGAGCCCGUCUGACUCCCAAAUUCACUGUCUUUCUGCACUUCUGUGUGCUACCGUAAAGAACAGGAAGAUGCAUUCAACCAGGGAGGUCGUAUUGGGAGAUGAACCUUCAGGGCAAGCGGCAUCUUCAAUCUGCGGAAGUUAAAGACUGAGAAAAACAGAGAAAAUCACCACAUUUAGUCAAGAUUCCUUGCCCACAGGAGAAAAUAUCCCAUCUCUUGACGGACCUCCAGGGACAGGCAUGGAGGUGUGAGCAUGAGGACUUAAACAGCCAAAUUAUGUCGGAGGCACAGAUUCCAUUAUUCACUGGUAACCUACCCCAUCCAGCUUUCUGUGGAAAGUAGGUCCCGACCACUGCACAGUCUGGGCCAUUGUUCAGUUCUGAUUGCAAAACAUGUUCACUUAGAAGAGUUCCUUUUUAGACACAGUGAACAAUGAUUAUUUAUGAAUGCAAAGUUCAUAUUUGAGAGCAACUUUUUAUUGAUAUCAUGGAUGGAUAUUUUUCUUUAAAGCACAGUUUUGAGGUUUAUUAUUCCCAGGAAACAUAUCAAAGUAUAUAUUUGAAACGCUAAAUAUCAGGAUUCCUGCUUGGGUUACCAGAACUGUUUUCCACCUUCUGCAAAAUCAGAGCACAAUUCCAG